GUCCCAGUAGCUCAGCUGGAUAGAGCAACGGCCUUCUAAGCCGUAGGUCGCAGGUUCGAAUCCUGCCUGGGACACCA
rnacentral:tRNA from 1 species